rnacentral:rRNA from 1 species
CCCAGCAAUGGGAGCGGCGCACGGGUGAGUAACACGUGGGAAUAUGCCCUUUGGUUCGGAAUAACGUAGGGAAACUUGCGCUAAUACCGGAUAAGCCCUUCGGGGGAAAGAUUUAUCGCCAUUGGAGUAGCCCGCGUCUGAUUAGCUAGUUGGUGAGGUAAAAGCCCACCAAGGCGACGAUCAGUAGCUGGUUUGAGAGAACGACCAGCCACACUGGGACUGAGACACGGCCCAG